rnacentral:rRNA from 1 species
GAAGACUAAUACCCAAUGAUAUCUCUAGAAGGCAUCUGAAAGAGAUUAAAGAUUUAUCGGUGAUGGAUGGGGAUGCGUCUGAUUAGCUUGUUGGCGGGGUAACGGCCCACCAAGGCAACGAUCAGUAGGGGUUCUGAGAGGAAGGUCCCCCACAUUGGAACUGAGACACGGUCCAAACUCCUACGGGAGGCAGCAGUGAGGAAUAUUGGUCAAUGGACGAGAGUCUGAACCAGCCAAGUAGCGUGCAGGAAGACGGCCCUAUGGGUUGUAAACUGCUUUUAUAAGGGAAUAAAGUUAGUCUCGUGAGACUUUUUGCAUGUACCUUAUGAAUAAGGACCGGCUAAUUCCGUG